rnacentral:rRNA from 1 species
CCUACGGGAGGCAGCAGUGAGGAAUAUUGGUCAAUGGCCGAGAGUCUGAACCAGCCAAGUAGCGUGAAGGAUGACUGCCCUAUGGGUUGUAAACUUCUUUUAUAUGGGAAUAAUAUGUUCCACGUGUAGCAUUUUGUCUGUACCAUAUGAAUAAGGAUCGGCUAACUCCGUGCCAGCAGCCGCGGUAAUACGGAGGAUCCGAGCGUUAUCCGGAUUUAUUGGGUUUAAAGGGAGCGUAGGUGGAUUGUUAAGUCAGUUGUUAAAGUUUGGGGCUCAACCGUAAAAUUGCAGUUGAAACUGGCAGUCUCGAGUACAGUCGAGGUAGGCGGAAUUCGUGGUGUAGCGGUGAAAUGCUUAGAUAUCACGUAGAACUCCGAUAGCGAAGGCAGUUCACCGGACUGCAACUGACACUGAAGCUCGAGAGCGUGGGUAGCAAACAGGAUUAGAUACCCCGGUAGUC